rnacentral:rRNA from 1 species
AGUGAACGCUGGCGGUAGGCCUAACACAUGCAAGUCGAACGGCAGCACAGUAAGAGCUUGCUCUUACGGGUGGCGAGUGGCGGACGGGUGAGGAAUACAUCGGAAUCUACUUUUUCGUGGGGGAUAACGUAGGGAAACUUACGCUAAUACCGCAUACGACCUACGGUUGAAAGCAGGGGAUCUUCGGACCUUGCGCGAUUGAAUGAGCCGAUGUCGGAUUAGCUAGUUGGCGGGGUAAAGGCCCACCAAGGCGACGAUCCGUAGCUGGUCUGAGAGGAUGAUCAGCCACACUGGAACUGAGACACGGUCCAGACUCCUACGGGAGGCAGCAGUGGGGAAUAUUGGACAAUGGGCGCAAGCCUGCUCCGGCCAUACCGCGUGGGUGAAGAAGGCCUUCGGGUUGUAAAGCCCUUUUGUUGGGAAAGAAAAGCAGCAGGUUAAUACCCCGCUGUUCUGACGGUACCCAAAGAAUAAGCACCGGCUAACUUCGUG